CCCUGAAAGAUACACCAAAAUCGAUCACCUCUGCCAUUGGCCUUAAGCCAAAACUAGUUCUCACCUCCCUAACGAACAAGCUCAUCAAAACAGAAUGGCACGAAAAUCGCGAGUGGGGCUCUCUCCAUUCUCAGCUCAGAGACCAGAGUAAAUCACAAGACCCGAUAAGUCAAGCUGCUUUCUAUAACACCCGGUACACCAUGAAACCAGAAAACUCUAGAAACAACAUUAAGAAAACAUUAUCACAGACAAACGAGCAAACUUGAUCAUCAAAGAGACUGCCGGAAUCUGCACGAGAGGAGUAUUACUGGGAUCCCGGGAUGGGAAACCUGCGAAACAUUGAGAGAAUUUAAUCUAGAAAUCGGUUUUGCAGAGACGGUCUGAGCUAAGAGGUUUUGCUAAUGGGUUGUGCAUGGGAAGCAAGAUACAACCUUGUAACAAAUGCACAAUUCGUAGAGUUGCAGAUGCGAAAUCAGAUGCCAAAGCAAGAAGGCAAAAACGAGAAAUGGAAUCGCUCUAGACGACCAUCUGUUGAUGAAAUGGAAAACCAGAGAUGGGAAUUGACGGGGAACGUGCCUGAGAUUGGAGAAUCGUUCGAUGUCGAGGCUAAAAGUGUUGGUUGUUUUCUCUUCUCUGUCUGGGGCGGUCACUUGAAAUCGGAGUUGGGGCGACGGUUCGGGUCACCGGGACACGUCACACGGUCUAUUUUGUUACCGUUUAUCCGAACACCCGAUCAGAAUACACCCAAAUUUUUCGGGUCGGAAAGCCCUAAUACCGACGAACAGAAGUUGAGAUCACGCGGAUGAUGAAGGGGUCGACGAACAGAAUCUGAUGAUUUUUUCCCCCUCUCCGUCUCAUCAUCAUCAUCUAAGGUAUUAAGCAGAUUCUCAUUCGUCACACAAGGAAGAGAGAACCAUUUCUCCUCUUUGUUUCUUUUCCACCGGAGAACGCACAAAGACGCACCGGAGGAGAGCACCUGAGCGACAAGGCCAGAAGCUCGGUAGUCGGAAUCCUUAGAUAACUUUUCGGUCCAUAUCGCCGGUCAACGCCGUCGGCCGUCCCCGCGCCACCUCCUUUUUGGCCGAGAAGCUUGAAGCUUGACUUCACCCUCCUUUUUGGUCUAGGAAGCUACUAGCCAUCUCUGUCGCUUCAAUGGAGAAUAUACACGUGAGCAUCAGACCAAGACCACUCUCGCCGGAAGAAGCAAAGACCAGCCCCUGGAGGAUCGCUGGCAACUCCAUUUCCAAUACCAAUCUUCCUUACAAAUUCAUGUUUGAUCGAAUAUUUAGAGACGAUUGUACGACGCAGGAGGUCUAUGAAUCUUGCAUCAGAGAAAUUAUCGCGGCUGCCCUGCGUGGAUAUAAUGG